rnacentral:rRNA from 1 species
GAUGAACGCUGGCGGCGUGCCUAAUACAUGCAAGUCGAGCGAACAGACGAGGAGUUUGCUCCUCUGACGUUAGCGGCGGACGGGUGAGUAACACGUGGAUAACCUACCUAUAAGACUGGGAUAACUUCGGGAAACCGGAGCUAAUACCGGAAAAUAUAUUGAACCGCAUGGUUCAAUAGUGAAAGACGAUUUUGCUGUCACUUAUAGAUGGAUCCGCGCCGCAUUAGCUAGUUGGUAAGGUAACGGCUUACCAAGGCGACGAUGCGUAGCCGACCUGAGAGGGUGAUCGGCCACACUGGAACUGAGACACGGCCCAGACUCCUACGGGAGGCAGCAGUAGGGAAUCUUCCGCAAUGGGCGAAAGCCUGACGGAGCAACGCCGCUUGGUUGAUGAAGGUCUUCGGAUCUUAAAACUCUGUUAUUAGGGAAGAACAAAUGUGUAAGUAACUAUGCACGUCUUGACGGUACCUAAUCAGAAAGCCACGGCUAACUACGUG